UGGGGAAUUUUGGACAAUGGGCGAAAGCCUGAUCCAGCAAUGCCGCGUGUGUGAAGAAGGCCUUCGGGUUGUAAAGCACUUUUGUCCGGAAAGAAAUCCUUGGCUCUAAUACAGUCGGGGGAUGACGGUACCGGAAGAAUAAGCACCGGCUAACUACGUGCCAGCAGCCGCGGUAAUACGUAGGGUGCAAGCGUUAAUCGGAAUUACUGGGCGUAAAGCGUGCGCAGGCGGUUUGCUAAGACCGAUGUGAAAUCCCCGGGCUCAACCUGGGAACUGCAUUGGUGACUGGCAGGCUAGAGUAUGGCAGAAGGGGGUAGAAUUCCACGUGUAGCAGUGAAAUGCGUAGAGAUGUGGAGGAAUACCGAUGGCGAAGGCAGCCCCCUGGGCCAAUACUGACGCUCAUGCACGAAAGCGUGGGGAGCAAACAGGAUUAGAUACCCUGGUAGUCCACGCCCUAAACGAUGUCAACUAGUUGUUGGGGAUUCAUUUCCUUAGUAACGUAGCUAACGCGUGAAGUUGACCGCCUGGGGAGUACGGUCGCAAGAUUAAAACUUAAAGGAAUUGACGGGGUCAUAGCUGUUUCCU
rnacentral:rRNA from 1 species